GUUUGAGUAGUCCCAACACUAAGACCCUAGCGAGAUUCGACUCUAGUUAAUUCAUUAACUAGGUAUAUUUUGAUAAUGCCUGAAAACCGUCCAUCAACUAACUAGUUUUCAAAUUCAGAAAAGAAGGGUAAAAGGUGGGAAGCAACCUCAAUUCUGGUGUGCAGUUUGGUCCUUCAAAAGUGGAUGUUGAGCCAAAGCAACAAAAGGCACGCAAUCAUCGUGAUGCCAAGGUCAGUUGUGAUGCUAUAAUUUGUUUUCGAUACAUAAGAAAAGAGGGCAUAUACCGCAUCACUGAAUGGAGAGACAAGCACAAGCAUGCAAUGGAACCUCAAGACACAAGGCACUUGUUGCGUCGCAAUAGGGUUGUCAGCCAAGUCACCGGACUUAUGGCCACAACCAAUAGCCAAUCUGGGUUGGGGAUGCAAUCUUCGUAUGCUAUUUUGUGCGGUCAUCAAAGUGGUGAAGCAAACGUGGGGUGCAUGAAACGUGACAUCUAGAACUUCCUAGGAAAAAUUAGACAGAAACAUAUGUUGUAUGGGGAAGAGACGUGUAUUAAUGAGUAUUUCC
rnacentral:lncRNA from 1 species